AUCAUUUUCUUUUUUAUGGCCUAUUUCUUACACCUCACUUUCAUCUCUUUAGUUUCCCAUUUCUGGUUUUAUAUGUAGUUAUUAAGUGUUAAAUAUUCAGUUUGUUGCAACAAGUUUAAGAGAACCUUAUCUAUCAAGCUUCUUCUUCUAAUACAAGUUUAAGAGGAAAAUUAAACAGCAUGUGCUCUUUCUCUUCACAACAAACCCCUCUCUUUUUGACACUUCCAUGGCCAUCCAAGAAACUCAACAAGCACAUAAAGUUGAGCCUCCUCAACAGAAGGAGAGCACAACAAUUGAAAGAAGCAAGAGAAAGGAAAAGGAUGAAUAUUGAGAUGAAGAACUUGAAAUUGUACAUGAAGAACCAAAGCAUCAUAGAAGAGAAUGAGAAGUUGAGGAAACAAGCCAUGAUUCUGCAUAAGGAGAACCAAGAACUCUUCUCUCAGCUCCAAAAGAAGCUCUCAGAACAAAAACAAUUAGCAACAAAUCAAAAACAAUACAUAUAACUAGCUAUAGCUCUUAGCUCAUAUAAUAUAUACGGUUUAUUUUAGUGUGGCCUAAGAGGUGAAGAAAAGAUUUAAGGGUCUAUAUGUAUGUUUUAUAUUGAUCCUUUUUCUCAUAUGUUUUAGCCACUUAGCCUUGAAUCUUUAACUUCCUUCUUUUUCUAUUUGCUUAUUUAGUUUGAGGUGGGAGAUAUAUGUCAAUUUCUCAAUUAAUUAAUUCUCUAGUUCAACAAGUUUAGAGAG